rnacentral:rRNA from 1 species
AAACUUGAGAGUUUGAUCCUGGCUCAGAACGAACGCUGGCGGCAUGCCUAACACAUGCAAGUCGAACGAGACCUUCGGGUCUAGUGGCGCACGGGUGCGUAACGCGUGGGAAUCUGCCCUUUGCUUCGGAAUAACAGUUAGAAAUGACUGCUAAUACCGGAUGAUGUCUUCGGACCAAAGAUUUAUCGGCAAAGGAUGAGCCCGCGUAGGAUUAGGUAGUUGGUGGGGUAAAGGCCUACCAAGCCGACGAUCCUUAGCUGGUCUGAGAGGAUGAUCAGCCACACUGGGACUGAGACACGGCCCAGACUCCUACGGGAGGCAGCAGUGGGGAAUAUUGGACAAUGGGCGAAAGCCUGAUCCAGCAAUGCCGCGUGAGUGAU